rnacentral:rRNA from 1 species
GGGAGGCAGCAGUGGGGAAUAUUGGACAAUGGGCGCAAGCCUGAUCCAGCCAUGCCGCGUGUGUGAUGAAGGCCUUAGGGUUGUAAAGCACUUUUGUCCGGGAAGAUAAUGACUGUACCGGAAGAAUAAGCCCCGGCUAACUUCGUGCCAGCAGCCGCGGUAAU